GUGUCAGCAGCCGCGGUAAUACGAGGGGGGCUAGUGUUGUUCGGAAUCACUGGGCGUAAAGGGAGCGUAGGCGGGUUUUUAAGUUAGGUGUUUAAUCCCGGGGCCCAACCCCGGACCGGCACUUAAAACUGGGAAUCUUGAAUAGUGGAGAGGUCAGUGGAAUUAGAGGUGUAGCGGUGGAAUGCGUAGAGAUCUCUAAGAACACCAGUUGCGAAGGCGGCUGACUGGACACAUAUUGACGCUGAGGCUCGAAAGCAUGGGGAGCAAACAGGAUUAGAAACCCCCGUAGUCC
rnacentral:rRNA from 1 species